GGAGAGUGAAGGGUGCCUGGUGGCCCCCGCGGUCUUCAAAACCGUUGUUUCGGCGAACAGCCGGAAGGUAGGUUCGAUUCCUACCCUCUCCGCCC
rnacentral:tRNA from 1 species